rnacentral:rRNA from 1 species
GAUGAACGCUGGCGGCGUGCCUAAUACAUGCAAGUCGAGCGAACGGACGAGAAGCUUGCUUCUCUGAUGUUAGCGGCGGACGGGUGAGUAACACGUGGAUAACCUACCUAUAAGACUGGUAUAACUUCGGGAAACCGGAGCUAAUACCGGAUAAUAUUUUGAACCGCAUGGUUCAAUAGUGAAUGACGGUCUUGCUGUCUCUUCUAGAUGCAUCCGCGCUGCAUUAGCUAGUUGGUAAGUUAACGGCUUACCAAGGCAACGAUGCAUAGCCGACGUGAGAGGGGGAUAGGCCACACUGGAACUGAGACACGGUCCAGACACCGACGGGAGGCAGCAGAAGGGAAGGUGCCGCAAUGGGCGAAAGCAUGACGGAGCAACGCCGCGUGAGUGAUGAAGGUGUUAGGAUCGUAAAAAUCGGUUAUGAGGGAAGAACAGAUGUGUAAGUAAAUGUGCAGAUAGUGACGGUAACGAAUCAGAAAGCCACGGCUAACUACGUG